UACGUAGGCAGCGAGCGUUGUUCGGAAUUACUGGGCGUAAAGAGUGUGUAGGCGGUGCUCUAAGUUUGGUGUGAAAUCUCCCGGCUCAACUGGGAGGGUGCAUCGAAUACUGGAAUGCUAGAGGGUGGGAGAGGUAAGCGGAAUUCCUGGUGUAGCGGUGAAAUGCGUAGAUAUCAGGAGGAACACCUGUGGUGUAGACAGCUUACUGGACCAUUUCUGACGCUGAGACACGAAAGCGUGGGUAGCAAACAGG
rnacentral:rRNA from 1 species